rnacentral:rRNA from 1 species
UACGGGGGGGGCAAGCGUUGUUCGGAAUCACUGGGCGUAAAGCGCGCGUAGGCGGCUAUUCAAGUCAGGGGUGAAAUCCUGGAGCUUAACUCCAGAAUUGCCUUUGAAACUGUAUAGCUUGAGUGUCGGAGGGGAUAGCGGAAUUCCUAAUGUAGAGGUGAAAUUCGUAGAUAUUAGGAGGAACACCGGUGGCGAAGGCGGCUAUCUGGACGACAACUGACGCUGAGGCGCGAAAGCCAGGGGAGCGAACGGG